rnacentral:rRNA from 1 species
UACGUAGGGGGCAAGCGUUGUCCGGAAUCAUUGGGCGUAAAGAGCGUGCAGGCGGCCAGUUAAGUCCGCUGUGAAAUCUCGAGGCUCAACUUCGAGCUGUCGGUGGAAACUGUCUGGCUAGAGUCCGGAAGAGGAGAAUGGAAUUCCUGGUGUAGCGGUGAAAUGCGCAGAUAUCAGGAAGAACACCCGUGGCGAAGGCGGUUCUCUGGGACGGUACUGACGCUGAGGCGCGAAAGCGUGGGGAGCGAACAGG